rnacentral:rRNA from 1 species
UACGAAGGGGGCUAGCGUUGCUCGGAAUCACUGGGCGUAAAGCGCACGUAGGCGGACUCUUAAGUCAGGGGUGAAAUCCUGGAGCUCAACUCCAGAACUGCCCUUGAUACUGGGAGCCUUGAGUUCGGGAGAGGUGAGUGGAACUGCGAGUGUAGAGGUGAAAUUCGUAGAUAUUCGCAAGAACACCAGUGGCGAAGGCGGCCGACUGGUCCGGUUCUGACGCUGAGGCGCGAAAGCGUGGGGAGCAAACAGG